UACAGAGGUCUCAAGCGUUGUUCGGAUUCAUUGGGCGUAAAGGGUGCGUAGGCGGCGCGGUAAGUCGGGUGUGAAAUCUCGGGGCUUAACUCCGAAACUGCAUUCGAUACUGCCGUGCUUGAGGACUGGAGAGGAGACUGGAAUUUACGGUGUAGCGGUGAAAUGCGUAGAUAUCGUAAGGGAGACCAGUGGCGAAGGCGGGUCUCUGGACAGUUCCUGACGCUGAGGCACGAAGGUCAGGGGAGCAAACGGG
rnacentral:rRNA from 1 species